AGUGAACGCUGGCGGUAGGCCUAACACAUGCAAGUCGAACGGCAGCACAGUAAGAGCUUGCUCUUACGGGUGGCGAGUGGCGGACGGGUGAGGAAUACAUCGGAAUCUACUUUUUCGUGGGGGAUAACGUAGGGAAACUUACGCUAAUACCGCAUACGACCUACGGGUGAAAGCAGGGGAUCUUCGUACCUUGCGCGAUUGAAUGAGCAGAUGUCGGAUUAGCUAGUUGGCGGGGUAAAGGCCCACCAAGGCGACGAUCCGUAGCUGGUCUGAGAGGAUGAGCAGCCACACUGGAACUGAGACACGGUCCAGACUCCUACGGGAGGCAGCAGUGGGGAAUAUUGGACAAUGGGCGCAAGCCUGAUGCAGCCAUACCGCGUGAGUGAAGAAGGCCUUCGGGUUGUAAAGCCCUUUUGUUGGGAAAGAAAAGCAGCAGGUUAAUAUCCCGCUGUUCUGACGGUACCCAAAGAAUAAGCACCGGGUAACUGCGUG
rnacentral:rRNA from 1 species